rnacentral:rRNA from 1 species
CUUAGCCGGUCUCCGAAUGCUCUAGAUUAAAGUUGAUCAUGGCUCAGAGUGAACGCUGGCGGUAGGCCUAACACAUGCAAGUCGAACGGCAGCACAGGAGAGCUUGCUCUCUGGGUGGCGAGGNGGCGGACGGGUGAGGAAUACAUCGGAAUCUACUCUGUCGUGGGGGAUAACGUAGGGAAACUUACGCUAAUACCGCAUACGACCUACGGGUGAAAGCAGGGGAUCUUCGGACCUUGCGCGAUUGAAUGAGCCGAUGUCGGAUUAGCUAGUUGGCGGGGUAAAGGCCCACCAAGGCGACGAUCCGUAGCUGGUCUGAGAGGAUGAUCAGCCACACUGGAACUGAGACACGGUCCAGACUCCUACGGGAGGCAGCAGUGGGGAAUAUUGGACAAUGGGCGCAAGCCUGAUCCAGCCAUACCGCGUGGGUGAAGAAGGCCUUCGGCGUUGUAAAGCCCUUUUGUUGGGAAAGAAAUCCAGCCGGGCUAAUACCUGGUUGGGAUGACGGUACCCAAAGAAUANAGCACCGGCUAACUUCGUGCCAGCAGCCGCAGGUAAUACGAAGGGUGCAAG